UGCAGGGGGUGGGGCUGGGGGGGCCGUGGCGGAUGCAGCACACGGACCGCCACUUGAAUCCGUCCUCGGCUGUCUUUGCCUGAGGGAGUUCUCCACACAGCAGGCUUUACAGCGAGUUUUCUGGUUGAGGGUAAUGUCACUGCAGUCAAGAGUGACGAAGGCAUUCAACAUCACAUUCAUUUAAAAGGCAGCUCAGCCUCCAAAUCUCCAUUCAGAAUGGCUUCUACCUCUUCAGAAUCUCGGCAGAGAUCAAGGACACCAACCACAAAAUCCUUGCAUUGCAUAGACAGCUUGCGAUAGUCAUUCUAAAAAG